rnacentral:rRNA from 1 species
AUGCCAUUGAAGCUUCUCCGCCGGACACCUACCGCCGGGCAACGCCACCCCACGCCGCUGCUGCGUCUCGUUCCCGGCCUCCUGCUUCUGCUGCUCUCGCGGCCGGCGCCGGCGUCGGCGUCGACGGUGGUCACCCACCUGCCGGGAUUCGAUGGGCCUCUCCCCUUCCACCUCGAGACCGGGUACGUGGGCGUGGAGGAGGAGACAGGGACGGAGCUCUUCUACUACUUGGUGGAGUCGGAGCGGAGCCCCGGCGCGGACCCCGUGCUCCUCUGGCUCACCGGCGGGCCUCGCUGCUCCGGCUUCAGCGCCUUCGCCUUCGAAGUCGGUCCUGUAAAGUUCGUGUUGGCGCCGUACGAUGGCGGUUUGCCGCAGCUGGUAUACAACCCCUUGUCAUGGACCAAGAUGGCAAGCAUCAUCUUCUUGGACUCGCCCGUCAGCUCCGGUUUCUCAUACGCGCGUGACCCCAAGGGCUGCGACGACGUCGGCGACUAUUCGUCCUCUCUGCAAGUCCAAAGAUUUCUCAACAAGUGGUUCACUGAUCACCCACAGUACCUUUCAAACCCUUUCUACAUUGGAGGAGAUUCGUACGCCGGAAAGGUUGUUCCACUCAUUGCGCAAUACGUUUCAGAAGGAAUUGACAAAAGGCAGCAGCCUCGCAUUAAUCUCAAGGGCUAUCUGGUCGGCAACCCUAUGACGGACCCAAAGUUCGAUCGCAAUUUCCAGGUUCAAGCUGCUCAUGGCUUCGGGAUAAUAUCUGAUCAAAUAUACGAGGCUGCCAUGAGGAACUGCAAAGGAGAUUACAUAAACCACGUGAAUCAAAUGUGUGCUGAGGUGCUACAAACCGUAAAGAGUCUCAUUUCUGAAAUCCUAGAUGCACACAUCUUGUACAAAAAAUGUGUCUUCUCCGCACCAAAGCCCACAAAUGAUGCGACGGCAAGAAAAAAUCUGUUAGAAGAAUCUAUCGAGCUAAAUGAGGCACCUGGUCGACCUGCCAUCGAUUGUCUUACAUACGGUUACUACCUGUCAUACUUUUGGAUGAACAACAACAUGACUAGAGAUGCUCUCGGGGUCAAGCAGGGGACGGUCGGUGAGUGGGUAAGAUGCAAAAGAGAACUCCCCUACAAAUUUGACAUGCCAAGCAGCAUACCAUACCAUCUCAACCUCACCAUGAGAGGUUACCGUGCACUCGUUUACAGUGGAGACCAUGAUCUCCAGGUGCCUCAGCUCAGCACGCAAGCGUGGAUAAGAUCUUUGAACUUCCCCAUAGUCAGUGACUGGAGGGCAUGGCAUCUCGACGGCCAAGCCGCGGGAUUUACCAUGGGAUACGCGAACAAUUUGACAUUUGCAACAGUAAAGGGUGGUGGCCAUAUUGCUCCAGAGUACAGGCCCGAAGAAUGCUUUGCGAUGGCCGAACGCUGGCUGGCCAAUGAGCCUCUUUGA